rnacentral:rRNA from 1 species
UACGUAGGGGGCAAGCGUUGUCCGGAUUUAUUGGGCGUAAAGAGCGCGUAGGCGGCUAUACAGGUCCGCUGUGAAAACUCGAGGCUCAACCUCGAGACGUCGGUGGAAACCGUAUGGCUAGAGUCCGGAAGAGGAGAGUGGAAUUCCUGGUGUAGCGGUGAAAUGCGCAGAUAUCAGGAAGAACACCCGUGGCGAAGGCGGCUCUCUGGGACGGUACUGACGCUGAGACGCGAAAGCGUGGGGAGCGAACAGG